rnacentral:rRNA from 1 species
UACGUAGGGUGCAAGCGUUAAUCGGAAUUACUGGGCGUAAAGCGUGCGCAGGCGGUUGUGCAAGACAGAUGUGAAAGCCCUGGGCUUAACCCGGGAAGUGCAUUUGAUACUGCGUUGCUAGAGUGCAAGAGAGGAAAGUGGAAUUCCCAGUGUAGGGGUGAAAUCCGUAGAUAUUGGGAGGAAUACCAAUGGCGUAGGCAGCUUUCUGGUCUUGUAACUGACACUGAGACUCGAAAGCGUGGGUAGCAAACAGG